UGGCGUGGAGGCGCUCGGGGGGUUCUCCAUGAAGUUGGGCUCAGCAGCCUCAACCACGGGAAAAGCAGCUGCCAAGGGAACUGCUUGGACUGGCGAUGUGGGAGCUGGAGGAGGAGGCAGUGUUGGAGGUGGAGCUGGCGGAGAAGGCGGUGUUGAUGUUGGAGGAGGAGGUGGAGCAGGUGGUGAAGAAGGCGCCACCCUCUUUCUUUUGGUGAUGAGGCCAUCUUCAGUUGCCUCAUCGUCUUCUUCUUCGUCCUCAUGAACCACCUG
rnacentral:lncRNA from 1 species